rnacentral:tmRNA from 1 species
GGGGCUGACUGGCUUUGACAGCGUGUAGAGGUGGUGUGUAAGCAUGCAGAGCAAUGAUGGCUACGCUCUAUAAUCUGGGACAUCAAAAUUUCAAAUGGCGAAAACAACUACGCUCUUGCUGCCUGAUUGAAGCACAGUAGAUCGGCUUAAUCUCCGCAACAGUUGCGGAGACAAGACAUCGCCCGAUUGUCGUCGUCCCGAGACUAAUCGACAAGGCGGUGCAGGUAAAUCGGGAAUAGGAGUCUGAAAGCCUCGCGAAGACUCCGAAACUUCAGAGGAUAAGGAAACGGUUGGUGGUCUUUAGCCUGUCGGUUCACGAAAAUCAAGUAGAGACUAAGCAUGUAGAAAGCUCAUUAGUUCCACGUUUGGACGAGGGUUCGACUCCCUCCAGCUCCACCA